UACGUAGGGACCAAGCGUUGUUCGGAUUUACUGGGCGUAAAGGGCGCGUAGGCGGCAAAUUAAGUCAUCUGUGAAAUCUCCGAGCUUAACUCGGAACGGUCAGGUAAUACUGAUCUGCUAGAGUGCGGAAGGGGCAAUCGGAAUUCUUGGUGUAGCGGUGAAAUGCGUAGAUAUCAAGAGGAACACCUGAGGUGAAGACGGGUUGCUGGGCCGACACUGACGCUGACAGCGCGAAAGCCAGGGGAGCAAACGGG
rnacentral:rRNA from 1 species